AUAUGGGUGUGUAAAUAUUGUCUUACGAUGUUUUGCUUUUAAAUAUAUAAAGUUAUGUUUCUUUUAGAAGAUUUGAGUCUUAUCCAUUGUGACCAUUUUGGAAUUCUAAGGUGUUAUAAUACUAUUGUUGUGUAUUUGACAACGCUGUCUAUAUACAAUAGCUUUGUCAUAAUAAAAAUAUACUAUAUGUAUAUACCGAUGAGAGCCCUCAAAGUCUUACUCACCCUUGAGAAAAGCUGUGGUAGAGAUUAUACAUUUUUCUUUCAGCUCCAUUUGGGGAUAAUUCAUAUUUGAACAGCCUCACCUGGUUUGACAGUUUGCAUCGACUAAUCAUCCGGAGACACCGAACAUGACCUCGGUGAACUCUGACUCGGAGCGUUUACGUUGUUGAGGCAAGCUAGUCAAACAAUACCCGGGAUGGAUGGGAGAUGAAGCCACACACAUUCUCCCAUUACUCACAGAAAGAAUGUCGACCCCCCCUGCUCCCCCGACGAUGGAUUCCAGGAGCCUAGUUGGGUCGACACCGACAGCUAUUUCUGGCUCUGGAUCUGGAAUGAGGCGGGCUGGAAGAAGGGAAGGCUUCAGCAGUUAAAGAGGCUGAUCAGUCUGAGGCUGUGCAGCUUUCACUAACGUGGAGGUGUCAUUCAAGCCCUGCUACCUCCAACUGGAGGAGAGGGUCCAUCCAUGGAUCACUAAACAACAGAGACGGACAGGCCCUCUCCAAUUAUAACUGGCUGCAAUGCGUCCGCGCCAUCUUCCACCGGCCUCUCGGUCCGACACGAACGGGUACACUGUUGGGCGAAGAUGAAGUGCCUCCCUGUCCGAAUGGAGAUGGACCCGACUGCAGGAACAGAGCGGUCUGCGGACUCACCGUCGGGAGGGGGGGGGGAAGAAAAAAAAAAAGCACUGAAUCCUCAGUGCAGUGCGGCCAUUGCGCUGCGGUGAGCAGAGGGGGGGCAUGUCAAAUGGAAGCAACUGUUCUGUGCCAGCACAGGUUUGAUCCUGGCACAAUAUAUGAGAGAGAGAGAGAGAGAGAGAGAGGCGCUGCCAUGGAAAUGAGCUUUGAUGGCGUGCCGUUGAAGAUUAGCUCCCCCCUUUUACCAUUUAUUUCAGAGCGGGCCAAGAUGCAUCAAGUCAACAUACGUGGCAGGCAGUGGCCCGUACGCCCCCCCCCC